AGCACCUCAUUUGCGUUACCUCGUAUGCCACAUAGGAUAGAUACACAACGAAUCCACACAUCUUACAGUGCAGGGUACUACGGGUGAUCCCAAAACAACUACCCCAACCUAUUCUCUCUUCCACUUUCCCCUUUCUCUCCUUUCCCCUUUCCCUCUCCUACUUUCACUCCCACCCACCCGACACAGCCGGAGCGCGCGGCGGCACAGGUCGCCGUCGUCGCCACCGACGCGGCGUCGUCGUCGUCGCCCACGGCGGCGCGCGUCGUCCCCGCGAAUCUCUCGGCGGCAAUGAGAAAGCGGAGCGAGGAGGACGGCGGUGGCGCGAAUCUGGAGCGGCGGCGUGGGAGGACAACGGCGGCGGCGCGAGAGGACCACGGCGGCGGCGCGGAUUCUGGAGUGGAGCGGCGUGCGCGUCCUCGUGCUCGUGCUCGUGGUCGUCGUCCUCGGAGCGGUCAUGGCGGGCGGCGGUGGCGCAUCCUCGCCCCGCCCUCCUCACCGACGGCGCUCUCCUCACCGCCUGCCCCAACGCCGAGUGGCGGCGGCAUCCUCGGGACCUGGCGAAGAAGCGGCGGCGGCGCGGAUCCCAAACAUGGAAGCUGGAAUCAAGGACCUGAACGAUCCUGGAGACCAAGCCACCGGCGACGCCACCGCGCGCGCAGCGAUCACUGCGUCGCUGAGAGCCAUCGCCGUCACCUCCGGUCUCUCCACGCGCCCCGACUUCGCCGCCAAUCUCUUCCCCGCCUACUCCUCCGCCGGGCGCCCAGUCCUUGCCGCCGCGGAGCUCCGAGCUCGGCCCCCUACCUAGCUAUAGGCUGCAGGAGCCUCCGUCCACGCGGGGAUUCCACUUCAAGUUCGUCAUCCUGGAGGGUGCUGGUUCCCUCGCGGUGGCGUCGUCGCUGGUCUUCAUGUACGCCAGGCACCGCAGCGUCCGCGACGCGCCGUGAGGCUGUUCGACGAAAUGCCCGAGAGGCUGUUGAAUGUGAUACCAACAGUUUGUUUUCCAUAAUUUCUUCUUGUUAAGGUUUGGGCAGACUACGAUUAGGUCAACCAGCACAUUGUUAUUUAACCGAACACUUAAUCGGUGAAAAUUCAUCAGAUGCAAAUGCAUUAAUCAUCAUGUACGGAAAGAGUGGAAAUUAUGAUCUUGCACCGAAAAUAUUUGGUUCGGUCAAAACAAAAACAUAUGUUGUCACACUCACAACUUUGGUACUGUAUGACCAGAAGCUCACUGAAGGACUUGUUGAUGAGGGUUGAUGAGGGUAAGAAGUUGUUCACUAGAAUGGAGGAAUACUCCCUUGAGCCUAACCUGAAGCACUAUGCCUGUAUGGUGAAUCGGCUAGGGAGAGCAUCUUCAAGGGGCAGAAGAUAUGAUCUCUAUAAUGCCAAUAGAACCUGAUGGUGAAAUAUGGGGAACUGAACUUGGUGCAUGCAAAAUGCAUGACAAUUUUGAAACUUGCAAUUGUAGAACAAGUUCUUUUAUUGUAAAUAAGUUCAUGCUUUUGCUUUUGGUA